UACCCAGUUACAGAGCCCUGAUUCUCUGUACCUCCUGCUCCUGGGCUGUUCUCUUUCCCAUGGUCAGACAGGAACCUCCCCCUGGGUAAGUGAAUCCAAU